rnacentral:rRNA from 1 species
UGCGUAGGCGGCUUGUUAAGUCAGGGGUGAAAUCCCACGGCCCAACCGUGGAACUGCCUUUGAAACUGGCGAGCUUGAGUGCGUGAGGGGUAACCGGAACGAGUCGUGUAGCGGUGAAAUGCGUAGAUAUGACUCGGAAGGCCAAAGGCGAAGGCAGGUUACUGGUACGCAACUGACGCUGAGGCACGAAAGCGUGGGGAGCAAACA